ACCGCUCUUAACAAAGCACUCCUCUUGAAAUGGUGGUAGAACUACUACACACAGCAAGAAAAGAUUUGGCGAUCAUUGAUCUGCAAGCUUUACUACACCAUGCAUGUCCCACUAUCUGAUAAUUUGCUUAGAAGUAGCUCCUUGCCAUUUUGGCACAGAAUAGUGAAAUUAGCUCCCUUGUUCCAUGCCUUCUCCUAGCCCA
rnacentral:lncRNA from 1 species